GGAGUUCUGGCUCAGUGGUAGAGCACUUGCCUUGCAAGCAUGAGGCCCUGGGUUUGAUUCUCAGCACCG
rnacentral:tRNA from 1 species